rnacentral:rRNA from 1 species
AUUGAACGCUGGCGGCAGGCCUAACACAUGCAAGUCGAGCGGAUGAGUGGAGCUUGCUCCAUGAUUCAGUGGCGGACGGGUGAGUGAUGCCUAGGAAUCUGCCUGGUAGUGGGGGACAACGUUUCGAAAGGAACGCUAAUACCGCAUACGUCCUACGGGAGAAAGCAGGGGACCUUCGGGCCUUGCGCUAUCAGAUGAGCCUAGGUCGGAUUAGCUAGUUGGUGAGGUAAAGGCUCACCAAGGCGACGAUCCGUAACUGGUCUGAGAGUAUGAUCAGUCACACUGGAACUGAGACACGGUCCAGACUCCUACGGGAGGCAGCAGUGGGGAAUAUUGGACAAUGGGCGAAAGCCUGAUCCAGCCAUGCCGCGUGUGUGAAGAAGGUCUUCGGAUUGUAAAGCACUUUAAGUUGGGAGGAAGGGCAGUAAGUUAAUACCUUGCUGUUUAGACGUUACCGACAGAAUAAGCACCGGCUAACUUCGUGCCAGCCGCCGCAGUAAAAC